rnacentral:rRNA from 1 species
AACGUAGGAGGCGAGCGUUAUCCGGAUUCACUGGGCGUAAAGCGCGUGUAGGUGGUUCGUCAAGUCGAGUGUGAAAGCCUCCGGCUCAACUGGGGGAGGACACUCGAAACUGAGGGACUGGAGGGUCAGAGAGGAAGGUGGAAUUCCCGGUGUAGCGGUGGAAUGCGUAGAGAUCGGGAGGAACACCAGUGGCGAAGGCGGCCUUCUGGCUGACCCCUGACACUGAGACGCGAAAGCGUGGGUAGCAAAC